GUGCCAGCCGCCGCGGUAAGACGUAGGGCGCGAGCGUUGUCCGGAUUUAUUGGGCGUAAAGAGCUCGUAGGCGGCUCAUCGCGUCGUGCGUGAAAAUCCACCGCUCAACGGUGGACUUGCGUACGAUACGGGUGGGCUGGAGUUCGGUAGGGGAGACUGGAAUUCCUGGUGUAGCGGUGAAAUGCGCAGAUAUCAGGAGGAACACCGGUGGCGAAGGCGGGUCUCUGGGCCGAUACUGACGCUGAGGAGCGAAAGCGUGGGGAGCGAACAGGAUUAGAUACCCGAGUAGUCC
rnacentral:rRNA from 1 species